rnacentral:misc_RNA from 1 species
GAUGAAGAACGCAGCGAAAUGCGAUAAGUAAUGUGAAUUGCAGAAUUCAGUGAAUCAUCGAAUCUUUGAACGCACAUUGCGCCCUCUGGUAUUCCGGGGGGCAUGCCUGUUCGAGCGUCAUUAUAACCACUCAAGCUCUCGCUUGGUAUUGGGGUUCGCGGUUUCGCGGCCCCUAAAAUCAGUGGCGGUGCCUGUCGGCUCUACGCGUAGUAAUACUCCUCGCGAUUGAGUCCGGUAGGUCUACUUGCCAGCAACCCCUAAUUUUUUUAAGGUUGACCUCGGAUCUGGUAGGGAUACCCGCUGAACUUAAGCAUAUCAAUAAGCGGAGGA